rnacentral:rRNA from 1 species
UGGGGAAUUGUUCGCAAUGGGCGCAAGCCUGACGACGCAACGCCGCGUGGAGGAUGAAGAUUUUCGGAUCGUAAACUCCUGUCGAGUGGGAAGAAUAGCUUUCGGGCGAAUAUCCCGAAGGUCUGACGGUACCACGAAAGGAAGCCCCGGCUAACUCUGUGCCAGCAGCCGCGGUAAUACAGAGGGGGCGAGCGUUAUUCGGAAUUAUUGGGCGUAAAGGGCGCGUAGGCGGCCUAUCAAGUGACGGGUGAAAUCCCUCGGCUUAACCGAGGAACUGCCUGUCAGACUGGAAGGCUUGAGACCGGGAGAGGUGAGUGGAAUUCCCAGUGUAGCGGUGAAAUGCGUAGAUAUUGGGAGGAACACCAGUGGCGAAGGCGGCUCACUGGACCGGUACUGACGCUGAGGCGCGAAAGCGUGGGGAGCAAA